UACAGAGGCUUCGAGCGUUAGGCGGAAUCACUGGGCUUAAAGCGUGUGUAGGCGGACUUCUAAGUACCUUGUGAAAUCCCACGGCUUACCCGUGGAACGGCUGGGUAUACUGGGAGUCUUGAGCCACCUAGGGGCGAGUGGAACAAAUGGUGGAGCGGUGAAAUGCGUAGAUAUCAUUUGGAACGCCAAUGGUGAAAACAACUCGCUGGGGGUGUGCUGACGCUGAGACACGAAAGCCAGGGGAGCGAACGGG
rnacentral:rRNA from 1 species